rnacentral:rRNA from 1 species
CCUACGGGAGGCAGCAGUGGGGAAUAUUGCACAAUGGGGGAAACCCUGAUGCAGCGACGCCGCGUGAGUGAAGAAGUAUUUCUGUAUGUAAAGCUCCAUCAGCAGGGGAGAAAAUUACGGUACCUGUUUAACAAGCCCCGGCUAACUUCGUGCCAGCAGCCGCGGUAAUAUGUAGGGGGCAAGCGUUAUCCGGAUUUACUGGGUGUAAAGGGGGCGUAGUGGGCUGGACAAGUCUGGAGUGAAAUGCUUGGGCUUAACCCCGGAACUGCUUUGGAAACUGGGCAGCUAGAGUGCAGGUGAGGUAAGCGGAAUGCGUAGUGUAGCGGUGAAAUGCGUAGAUAUUAGGAAGAACACCAGUUGCGAAGGCGGCUUACGGGACCGUAACUGACGUUGAGGCACGAAAGCGUGGGGAGCAAACAGGAUUAGAUACCCGAGUAGUC